UGGGGAAUAUUGCACAAUGGGGGAAACCCUGAUGCAGCAACGCCGCGUGGGUGAAGAAGUAUUUCGGUAUGUAAAGCCCUAUCAGCAGGGAAGAGAAUGACGGUACCUGACUAAGAAGCCCCGGCUAACUACGUGCCAGCAGCCGCGGUAAUACGUAGGGGGCAAGCGUUAUCCGGAUUUACUGGGUGUAAAGGGAGCGUAGACGGUUGUGCAAGUCUGAAGUGAAAGCCCGCGGCUCAACUGCGGAACGGCUUUGGAAACUGUGUAACUGGAGUGCUGGAGAGGUAAGCGGAAUUCCUGGUG
rnacentral:rRNA from 1 species